UGCCGUGCCUUUCAUUUGCGCCCAGGUAUA
rnacentral:piRNA from 1 species